AAGGCUCUAUAUGAAAACAUGUUGGUGGAACUACCCUUUGCUGGCUUUUUCCUGUCCAAGCUACUGGGAACCAGUGCAGAUGUGGACAUCCACCAUCUUGCCUCAUUGGAUCCUGAAGUCUACAAGAACCUGCUUUUCCUUAAGAGCUAUGAAGAGGAUGUGGAGGAGCUGGGACUGAACUUUACUGUGGUGAACAAUGACCUUGGAGAAGCCCAGGUGGUUGAACUAAAAUUUGGUGGGAAAGACAUCCCUGUAACUGGGGCCAACCGAAUUGCCUACAUCCACCUGGUGGCUGACUACCGACUGAACAAGCAGAUCCGACCGCACUGCCUAGCUUUCCGACAGGGCCUGGCCAAUGUUGUGAGCCUAGAGUGGCUCCGAAUGUUUGACCAACAGGAAAUUCAGGUAUCAUGGUUACUACUCUCAAAAACACAGUUGUCUCAGGAAAUAAAACACUUUCUGAAA
rnacentral:lncRNA from 1 species